UCAUACUAGCUGGGGUGGUAGCGGUACCCUGUACCUGAAAUCCGCUAUAUGCAGGGGUGAACGCUAAUUUGAGGACUGUUUUUGUGUGGUCAGCGCCUUCAAUAAAUGUGUUGACGGAUGAGUCUUGCGCAAUUUUCGGCUGUGAACCGUGUCAGAUGGGGGACCAAGCAGCACUAAGCGGUUUUGAAGAUGUGCCGUGAGGGUGCUUGUUCUGAGCAUUUGUUUUAGGUUCGCGCAUAUAAAAGCUUUUCGAACUUUAGAUGUAUGA
rnacentral:SRP_RNA from 1 species